GCACCCAUAGCUUAGCUGGAUAGAGCAUCGGUUUGCGGUACCGAAGGUCUUAGGUUCGAAUCCUAAUGGGUGUACCA
rnacentral:tRNA from 1 species